GAUGAACGCUAGCGGCAGGCCUAACACAUGCAAGUCGAGGGGUAGAAGGAGCUUGCUCCUUUGAGACCGGCGCACGGGUGCGUAACGCGUAUGCAAUCUACCUUGUACAGGGGAAUAGCCCAGAGAAAUUUGGAUUAAUGCCCCAUAGUAUAUAACCUUCGCAUGUUGGUUAUAUUAAAGUUCCAACGGUACAAGAUGAGCAUGCGUCCCAUUAGUUAGUUGGUAAGGUAACGGCUUACCAAGACGAUGAUGGGUAGGGGUCCUGAGAGGGAGAUCCCCCACACUGGUACUGAGACACGGACCAGACUCCUACGGGAGGCAGCAGUGAGGAAUAUUGGUCAAUGGUCGCAAGACUGAACCAGCCAUGCCGCGUGCAGGAAGACGGUCCUAUGGAUUGUAAACUGCUUUUAUACAGGAAGAAACCCUUCCACGUGUGGGAGCUUGACGGUACUGUAGGAAUAAGGAUCGGCUAACUCCGUG
rnacentral:rRNA from 1 species